rnacentral:lncRNA from 1 species
CUGUGAUGGCACAGAAUGUUCCAAAGUACAUGAUGGUUGCGGGAGAAAGAGCUGUGCUUCGUGGUCUUGGUCUGAACAUACCCAACAAAUUUUCGACUGUGAACUGAGAAGCCAUAGUUGACACUGCCAAGAAACUAAAUCUACCAAGGAGAAUGACACUCCCAAGAAACUAAACUACCACGGAGAAUGACACUCCAAGAAACUAAAUCUACCAAGGAGAAUGACACUCCAAGAAACCAAAUCAGCCAAGGAGAAUGACACUCCAAAGCACAACACAAAUCUCACACUUCUACUAAAAAUACCAAAUAAGGAGACUGACACUCCAUGAACACAAAACAUACUGCAACUUAGGAGACUGACACUCCAUGAACACAAAUCAUACUGCAACUGAGGAGAAUGAAACUCCAAAUCAUACUGCAAUUUAGGAGAAUGAAACUCCAAGAUUCAUAGAAAGAAUGACACUUUCUGCUUUAAAUUGACAAGAAAAACUAAUACUUGCAGAGAUCAACACAUCAAGACCACAGCUUCACUUCAAUUAAACCUUGAAAGUACAUCAAAGACCACAACUUCAAGAAAUAAGCAACAAACAAAACCAGUAAACGAAUUCACCUGAUUUACCAAAAUUGCACCACCAAAUCUCCAAACAACCAUACAGCGCCGUUUCAGAUCACCAAACACGCAAUCUUCAAGCAGCACCCAAACCAGCGAAAGUCGUCACCAAAUCAUCAGAAUCGUAGAAACUCCCACACGAUGUUUGAUGCAGAAAGAAUAACACCUGAAACAAUCACGAAGACACUGAGCAACCCAGAAGAAUCCAACACUCUGAUUUCGGAGACAUCCAACAGCAAUUCACGAAGACUGCCACUCCAUCGUUCCAACUUCGCACCUCUGCGACAACCCUCGGAGGCAAUAACAGCGGAAGAAUCAGGAUCGGACAACACCAGAAGAAAGAAAUCACGCAAUAAAGAAAUCGAGGCGGUGACGCAACGCGUUUUGGUGACAAUGUACGAACUGUAAGACGGAUUAAUCAAAUCAAGACUCUCUUCUACUGUGCUGAGAUCCAAAGGGUGCUCCGUCAUGGCGUCGUUUCUUGAACUGCAAUUUCAUGGUUCUUUCUUCAAGUUCUAGACGAUACUAACUGCGUUUGCUCCGUUUGACCAAGUUCUGAUGAACCGGGUAUGCAGCCUUCAUAGUAACUUUUGAACUGGGAAUUUCGUCAAACACCUGGAGUGCAUAAGUGACAUAUAUUUCAUUGGUGGUGGUCUGCAAACACCCAAAAGCCAAAAGAUUGAACUUGGAAUUCCUGCGAGUCAGCAACAACUUCACAAAAAAAAAAUCAACCCAUAAAUCCGAGUCGUUCGAGGGAGGAUCUGAGAACCCAAUCGAAUGACAUCGCAGGAGCAGGGAGCGAUGGACACUGCCAGGCUCGACGACAUAAUCAGGCGGCUCACGGAGGUCCGAUUGGCCAAGCCGGGGAAAUCUUUCUUCAGCAGCCCAAUUUGUCCAAGCUCGAAGCCCCAAUCAAAAUUUGCGGUGAAACCCAGAUGAAAAAUUGAGGUUCUUGAUUCCUGUUCUCCAUGGAAAUGCUUGGAUCUUUUCACAACAGAUUCAAGAAAACCCAGAAUAAAAGGACCAUUGAGCAGCCAGAGAAGGUAAUAAAGGAAAAAAAAAAUCCAGAGACCAAACAAAAAAAAUAAGAACUAUGAAUACGCGGAAAUGAAAGAAAGCAACGAAGAAAGAUAGAAGAGAAAUCAACCACCAAGAUCCAUGGCGUGAGCCUUGGUGGCUCUGAUACCAUAUUAACUACAUUGUAAAAGAUGAAGAUUGGUACAUAGGAAGAGAAAGAAUUGGUAAAGAGCAACAAAAGAGAUUGUAUUGAUUGAUUAGAGAAAAUGUAUACAAAUGAACUUAAGGAAAUGAUAGCUAUACAAUCCCUUAUAUAGCCAUAUAACCUAAUUACAAUAAU